GACUGCAAGCGUAUUUUGCGUCAUCCAAGACCACGGGGGGUUGGGGGUUAGGGGUGGGGCUGGGGAAGGGAAAAGGCGGACUUGGUCGGCUUUGCGGCCAAAGGCUACCUGGACUCGUGCUCCUCCUACGCAGUACCGUCAAGGUUGAUCUUAGUCGCUUAUCCUGGCGGUUGCCCAGCCAGGAGCCAAGCGCUCCGGAGAUCAAAUGGCGAGCUGAAACGGUCACCUGCAGGAGGGGCCUGGUGAUACAGACUCCCUGCUUCAGUCUGCUGCCCAGGAGUUAAAGAAGCUCUUACUCUGCCUCUCAUGCUAAAGUGGAGGGAUGAGUGAAAACAAGGUGAAGACCGUGCAGACUCAGGUCCUCGCCAGGAAAAAGUCGCCAGUUCCUGUGUCCUUGGUUCCUAUGGUGACAGUGCUGCUUCUAGACUCACAGGAUACACACACCAUGGCAACCAGAUCAUUGUGUGCCAGAGUGGGUCCCUGGGCUCUGCAGGUCGCUUCAAUCAUGGGAUUCCCCACUUCAGAGUGGACGUGGGCAGCGGACAGCGGGAGACAACAUGACCACUCCCUACCUGGUAAUCGUGCUACGUCGUGAGUUUCUCAUGGGAAAGUAUGUCGUGUUAUUCACAAAAAUAGAUUUCCUGAGAGUCUCCAUCCAAACCGGAGAGUGAGCCGGCAACCGAGACUGGGGGCGUGAUCAAUGGUGAGGUGAGGACUGCGCACACUCAGCAAUUCCACCCCCAAUAGGAAGUCGCGAGUCCUGGCGUCUUCGGUUCCCAUAGUGACAGAGCCUACCUCCAAUCUCUUAUUUCUUGGGUAUCCCUUGUGAGCGCAAAGCACAAAAAUAUAAAGUCAGCCGUCAGAGAUGGUGAAGUGGGAGGUGAAGGGCCUCACUCUCAAGGGGGUGAUCACAGUUAAAAUGAGGAGAUUGGAAGAGUAUGCGAGACCCUGAGAUUUCUCCAGCUAUCCCCGCCCCCAGGCCUAACCCAGCCAAACCGAACUGCAAUGUGGUAAGGGUUCCGGGUGAGAGCGGAGUGUGCUCUGGUAUAUAGUAAGGGGAUUUGACAGAUGGGUUCACCACCUACCCUACCUCCAAAAAAUGUUCUCCAUGAGUCAGCUUUAAUGUACACAUUGUCUGAAAAAUCAGCUUUAGGGGUCUUGAAGGCCCUUCAGUCUCCAAGACACCGAGGAGGGCUGUCCCCUUGCGAUAGGGCGUUAUGUCCUAGGAGAGACACAGGUUGGGAGGCAGAAGAUCUGGGCUCUGAGCUGGCCGAUAACCAGCCUGACAUAUGGAACUAGUAUAGCAUCUCUUGGAGCAUAGUCUGUGAUGUAAUGAAGCUGUGGGUGUCAUCCCUGUACCUUUCAGCACUCUCAGUCUUCUAUGACUGCUUUAUGUGAUCAGUUCAACCCUGAGGGCCACUUGGCUGAACUGACCCUGAAAAUUCAAGGAAAGAUGGAUGGCUGAAAGGAUUGUUGUUAUGAAGGAGACCAAGGGAAGCCUGCUUGCCACAGAAUGUUGAAAGGUUUUGCGUAGUGCUGCAGACUGUUGGUAUAAGUACCCAAAUCCCUUUGUUUCUGCCUAGCCAGCAUAGUUCUCCAAAAACCUCUCCACCUGCACUUAUACAAUUACAGAGAUGUUGAUUUAGCCCCUGCAGUGUGUAUACACAGUGAAAUACCCACGUGGUCACAAUUAUCCUAUGCAUUAUUGGUGGGAAUGUAAAAUGAUGCAGCUACUUCAGAAAACAGCCUUCUGCUUCACCAAGAAAUUAAACAGAAUUACCAUAUGAUCCAGUGAUUCCAUUCCUAGGUAUAUAACCAAGUGCUGAAACAUAUGUCUAUGCAAAAACUUGUAUUCAAAUGUUCAUAUCAGCAUUAUUCAUCAUUGCCAAGAAAGUAGAAACAACUCAAAUGUCUGUCAAUGAAUGAAUGGAUAAAUAAAAUAUAAUAUAUCCAAACAGUGGUUUGGCCUCAUAAAAGAAUGAAGUAUUAAUGCCUAGUACCACAUCAAUGAACCUUGAACUUGUGUUAACAAGCCAGUCACAGCAGACUACAUAUUGUAUGAUUCCGUUAUUAUGAAAUGUCCAGUCCAAGAAAAUCUACAGAAACAAAAAGUAGAUUUGUGAUUACCCAGGGCUGGGGAGGUUGAGAGGAAAUGAAGAGGGACUGCUAACGGGUACAGAGUUCCUUUUUUGAAGUGAUGAAAAUGUUCUAAAAAUUGAUUGUAGUAAUCUUUGCACAGUUCCAUGAGUAUACUAAAAAUCAAUGAAUUGUGAACUUUAAGUGGAUGAAUUUUAUGUUAGAAGAAUUAUAUUUCAAUAAAGUUUUUUUUUUAAAGAAAAUACAAUGAAGUAAAUAAAAUACAUUGCUGUUGAAACUGGUACAUACACUUUGGAAAAAUUUGGGAGUCUAAAAAAAUUAAACAUACUCUUACUAUAUCACCUUGCAGUCCCACUUAAAUGUUUACUCAAAAAAAUGAAAAUUGAUAUUCCCACAAAAAAUUUCAGCAAUUAUUUAUAGCAGCUUUAUUCAUAACUUCCCAAACCAAAA